CCCAUUAGUUGUGGCUUAUUUUGGUUCUUUUUAGUUCGUUUCUUUCCCCUACAUUACUUGACCGUUUUUGUAAAACAACAGCACUCGAGGUCUGACAGUAUUUUACCAAGAAAUGCACAAAAUAUUCAAAAAGAAGGCCUAGAAAAUUUAAAUAUUGGACAAGAACUAUAGAAGAUACAGAGAAAUAAUAUACAGCAGAAAUGAUAGGCAAUGUAAAAUUUGCAGAAGCCAACUAAACCUAAAUGGUGAUCAGACAUCUCGGUUUUCAUGAUCAAUAGGUCAUUACUGAAGAGGAAACUUAAAGUUGAAAUUUAUUUACAUAGUGCAUAAUUGGAUUAAUUUGAAAUGGAAUGUGUGCUUUCCUGCAAAAAAGAAAUAGGAAAUUUCAACAUGUGAUAAUGACCAUAUAAAACAAAAUGGAGUUCUAUCAUAGAUACCCAAAAACACUAUUGCAUAAAAGCAACAACAUAUCUUAAUCAAAAGAAAGGAGAAUGCAGAACAAAUACUAUUUUGUUGUUGAAAAAGGAACACCAGUUUUAUCCACUCAUUUACAUCGCUCCCUCAUAUCAAAUAUACAGAAGAAGAUCAUUGAAGAACAAUUUGCAAAAAUGAUUUCUCUUAGAAUUGAAGGGAAUUGUUUAGUGAAUGGAAUAAUGUAUUCACUGAAUUCUUACAUAGUGGAUUGAAUAACUGUACACAAGCUGAAACAGAAGAAAUUCUAAUUUAAAAUAACACGAAAAGUGUUUAUUUUAUUAUUUAAUCUGCAAAUAUAUAAAUAUUUUUUUUAGAACACCACAAAUGAUAUAAUGACAUUCAAAUUGGUUGCUUAUUAUUGUAUCGCAUUACAAUUACAAAGAAAACAGAAGCAUUUGCUCAAAAAAAAUUAUAAAUCAAAGUUAAAUUUAUAUAAAAAGUAUAAACAAUACCUAGAUCUAAACAGUCAGACUGUAUUAUUUUCAAUGUCAUUAAAAUUUUGAGUCAAACAUUUAUUAAAGUUUUAAAUAUCAUUUGCAUCAAUUCUACAGUCUUUUAAUAAUUAUAUUCAUACUGUUUGUAUACAUGGUGUAGUGAAGAAAUGUUUAACAAGUAAAAAUAAGGAAAAACAUUUCC